rnacentral:lncRNA from 1 species
GGUAUGUAUGUUUACCCAUUAUAUAUUUCAAUUUCAAUAUUGUUUUGUUUUUAUUGUGAUGUUGCUCAUUAAUUAAUUCGGUCAUGUGCAAAUAUAUAUAAGUUAGGAUCCAUUGAUACCAAGUGUAAGUAAAAAAACUUACAUCAAAUCUCAACUGUUUAAUUUAUUUGAUCGUAUGGUUUAAAUAAUAUCAACAUAAGAAACAAAUAAAAUAUAAUACAGUUGAUCUCGUUUGAGAACUCCUUCUGUCAACAAGGAUUGCGCAGAGAUAACCAACACUGAUCAUCAAGCAAUCCUCAAUUUUGAUUUUCUAUUGUAAUAUCAUGAGUGUCCAAUUCAUUAUUCUUUGAGAUUUAGACCAACACCCAUUUAUAUAUAUGAGUUAGGAUUCUGUUAAACUUUAACAAGCUAAUCAUUUUUGUAGAUAAUUACGACUUUCACAAUGUGCAUGUUUUAAAAUGAUGUUAGAAUUGCUGGUUGAAGCCAUUCUUCUAUGAAUAAGAUUAACAUAACACAUUAAGAAUCAACUUUGGUUGGUACGAUGAUUUUGGGCCUCAGAGUGUGCUCCUUCUCAUGGUCUAUGCUUCGAUUCUCCCUGAUGCAAUUUGAAUGAGUUAAUUUCGUUUCUUAAAAACAAAAACAUAACACAUUAAGCUUCACAAUUUAGUGCUUAAACAUUUAAUUGUUGUCGAAUUUUGUAGAUUUAAAGUCGAACAAAAAAUUAACACAAACUUGUAGAUUUAGGCUAUGUUUGGUUUCAGAGAAACUAUAAGGAAAGAAAGAGGAAGGAGAGAAAGGUUGAAGAAUAUUCUCUUUUCCAUGGUUUGGUUUGCCAACAAUAAAGUAAGGAAAGAAAGUUUUAUGCUGGGACCCACUCAAAAUGCAAUAACCCCUAAACUGGACCGAAGAAUGGAGGAAGGUUUGCUUUUUGGAUGAAAUGACAUAAAUGCCCAACCAAUUUCAGAAAAUAACAACAACUUGACGGUUUUUUUUCAAUUUAAAUCGGGACACUAAACUCUUAUUUAAACCUAUGAUACUCUUUUUUAAACAAAAAUAAAAUGUGAUACUCUUUUAUGCUUAACUUACAUUAUAAUUGAAUGUGUAUUUUAAUAUUAAUCAAAUUAUUAUUUUAAUAUUUUUCUCUAAUCGCAUUUUAUUUUUGUUUGAGGUAGCUUUGUCAUUUUCUUGUUACAUAACUUUCUUUCCUCUCACUUUCUCACCACUUUCGCUCCUAACAAACAACUAAAAAAAUCAUCUCACUCUCCAUUCACUUUCUCUUCACUUUCAUUCCUUUAGGGUGUGUUUGGAUGGAGGUUUAGGAGGGGAAGGGAGGAGAGGGUCACUUUUAAUUUUAAAUAACGGACAUUAUGAAAUGU